GCCUGGGUGGCUCAGUCGGUUAAGUGUCUGACUUCAGCUCAGGUCAUGAUCUCACAGUUCGUGAGUUCGAGCCCCGCAUCAGGCU
rnacentral:tRNA from 1 species